UUUCUCAUUUUUCCUGUGAUGUGUAGCCUGUGUUUCUUACUGCAGAGAGAGAGAAUGGCUUUGUCUCCAGGAAAAACAAGAUACAAGGUCACUUUCCACUUGUUUCUCAUUUUUCCUGUGAUGUGUAGCCUGUGUUUCUUACUGCAGAGAGAGAGAAUGGCUUUGUCUCCAGGAAAAACAAGAUACAAGGUCACUUUUCACUUGUUCCUUGUUUUCCCUGUGAUGUGUAGCCUGCAUUUCUUACUGCAGUCAAAAAAAAAAAAAGGGGGGUUUGUCUCCAGGAAAAAACAAGAUAAGGUCACUUUUCACUUGCUUCUCGUUUUUCCUGUGACGUGUAGCUUGUGUUUCUUACUGUAGAUGAGAAAAAAUGGCUUUGUCUCCAGGAAAAACAAGAUACAAGGUCACUUUCCACUUGUUCCUUGUUUUCCCUGUGAUGUGUAGCCUGACUUUCUUACUGCACUUAAAAAAAAAUGGCUUUGUCUCCAGGAAAAACAAGAUACAAGGUCACUUUUCACUUGUUCCUUGUUUUUCCCGUGAUGUGUAGCCUGACUUUCUUACGGCAGUUAAAAAGAAAAAAACGGCUGUCUCCAGGAAAAAUAAGAUACAAGGUCACUUUUCACUUGUUCCUUGUUUUCCCUGUGGUGCGUAGCCUGCAUUUCUUACUGCAGUCAAAAAAAAAAAAAAACGGCUUUGUCUCCAGGAAAAACAAGAUACAAGGUCACUUUCCACUUGUUUCUCAUUUUUCCUGUGAUGUGUAGCCUGACUUUCUUACUGCAGAGAAAAUGGCUUUGUCCCUCACGCCCCUUCUCCGAUGCCUCCGUUAUGUUAGUACUACUCACACCACUUAUCAGACUGCUGUUGUGUUCUCGGUUCUUCCUCGUACAGCCCGAAUUUGACCCAUACAAAAGAAGCUUCCUAUUUUUAUACUCUGAUUGAUCCAGUAUUAUAUAUAUGCUUUUGUUUUGAGGGUUCAGAGUGUUGCGUUCUGAAAUACCUCAUCUAGAAAGAACCCCACAAAUUAUAUCAUAAGUUAGUGUGAUCUGUAUAUUUUGGAAACCAGCCUUACAAAUUAGCAUUACCUGAGUAAAUUUACCUGUAUACUCUGCCUGUUAUUUUAGGUCAAUAAAUUUCUUUGGUAA